rnacentral:rRNA from 1 species
CUAUACAUGACUCUGUGCAUAUCAAUAAGCGGAGGAAAAGAAACUAACAAGGAUUCCCUUAGUAACGGCGAGUGAAGCGGGAAGAGCUCAAAUUUGAAAUCUUCAAGGUUCUACCUUGACGAAUUGUAGUUUAUAGAAGUGUUUUCUGUUAGUAGAGUGGCAAAAGUUCUUUGGAAUAGGACAUCAUAGAGGGUGAGAAUCCCGUAUUUGGUCAUUCUUUCUAGCUUUGUGAUACACUUUCAACGAGUCGGAUUGUUUGGGAAUGCAGUCCAAAAUGGGUGGUAAAUUUCAUCUAAAGCUAAAUAUUGGCGAGAGACCGAUAGCGAACAAGUACCGUGAGGGAAAGAUGAAAAGAACUUUGAAAAGAGAGUUAAACAGUACGUGAAAUUGUCAAAAGGGAAGCGUUUGACACCAGUGUUGUUUUUCCGAAAAUCAAUUACGAAUGUUUUAUUUUUGAGGAGUUAUGACUUCAUCGGCUUGCUUCUCUCUUUACGAAACUUUCUUAAUGCACUUUUCGGUUAACAAGUCAACAUCAAUUUCUUUUGUUGUAAAAGGGUAUGAGGAAGGUGGCUUUCUUUUCGGAGAAAGUGUUUAUAGCCUUGUACCUCUGCAAUCGGGAGAUUGAGGUCUGCAGCGUAGAUCCUUCGGGGUUAGAUACAUUUGUGCUAAGUUAUAGCUUUUCAUAGACAACUUGUUGACUAUGAUUAGUCAUUGUAGCUUACUCGCUUAUGCUAUUUUACCUACGCUUAGGAUGUUGAUAGUCACAGCGUGUAC